GAACGCUAGCGGCAGGCUUAACACAUGCAAGUCGAGGGGCAGCGUGGAGCAGCAAUGCUCUGACGGCGACCGGCGGAAGGGUGCGUAACACGUGAGCGACUUGCCCGUCACAGGGGGACAACAGAGGGAAACUUCUGCUAAUACCCCAUAUGAGCGUAGCUGAAAUGCUAUUCUUGAAAACUCCGGUGCUUAAGGAUGAGCCUGCAUCUGAUUAGCUAGUUGGGGGUGUAAUGGACCACCAAGGCGACGAUCAGUAGCUGGUUUGAGAGGAUGAUCAGCCACAAUGGGACUGAGACACGGCCCAUACUCCUACGGGAGGCAGCAGUAGGGAAUUUUGCGCAAUGGGCGAAAGCCUGACGCAGCAACGCCGCGUGAUUGAUGAAGCCCUUCGGGGUGUAAAGAUCUGUCAGUGGGGACGAAACUUGACGGUACCCACAGAGGAAGCAUCGGCUAACUCCGUG
rnacentral:rRNA from 1 species